rnacentral:rRNA from 1 species
AUACGGAGGGUGCGAGCGUUGUUCGGAAUUAUUGGGCGUAAAGCGCGUGUAGGCGGUUUGUUAAGUCUGAUGUGAAAGCCCCGGGCUCAACCUGGGAAGUGCAUUGGAUACUGGCAGACUUGAAUACGGGAGAGGGUAGUGGAAUUCCUGGUGUAGGAGUGAAAUCCGUAGAUAUCAGGAGGAACACCGGUGGCGAAGGCGGCUACCUGGACCGAUAUUGACGCUGAGACGCGAAAGCGUGGGUAGC